UACGGAGGGUGCAAGCGUUAAUCGGAAUUACUGGGCGUAAAGCGCACGCAGGCGGUCUGUCAAGUCGGAUGUGAAAUCCCCGGGCUCAACCUGGGAACUGCAUUCGAAACUGGCAGGCUAGAGUCUUGUAGAGGGGGGUAGAAUUCCAGGUGUAGCGGUGAAAUGCGUAGAGAUCUGGAGGAAUACCGGUGGCGAAGGCGGCCCCCUGGACAAAGACUGACGCGCAGGUGAGAAAGCGGGGGGAGCAAACAGGAGGAGAUAACCCUGUAGUCC
rnacentral:rRNA from 1 species